rnacentral:rRNA from 1 species
AGCUAGUUGGUGAGGUAAUGGCCCACCAAGGCGACGAUCGGUAGCCGGACUGAGAGGUUGAACGGCCACAUUGGGACUGAGACACGGCCCAGACUCCUACGGGAGGCAGCAGUGGGGAAUAUUGCACAAUGGGGGAAACCCUGAUGCAGCGACGCCGCGUGGAGGAAGAAGGUCUUCGGAUUGUAAACUCCUGUUGUUGAGGAAGAUAAUGACGGUACUCAACAAGGAAGUGACGGCUAACUACGUGCCAGCAGCCGCGGUAAAACGUAGGUCACAAGCGUUGUCCGGAAUUACUGGGUGUAAAGGGAGCGCAGGCGGGCGAUCAAGUUGGAAGUGAAAUCCAUGGGCUCAACCCAUGAACUGCUUUCAAAACUGAUUGUCUUGAGUAGUGCAGAGGUAGGCGGAAUUCCCGGUGUAGCGGUGGAAUGCGUAGAUAUCGGGAGGAACACCAGUGGCGAAGGCGGCCUACUGGGCACCAACUGACGCUGAGGCUCGAAAGUGUGGGUAGCAAACAGGAUUAGAUACCCUGGUAGUCCACACCGUAAACGAUGAUUACUAGGUGUUGGAGGAUUGACCCCUUCAGUGCCGCAGUUAACACAAUAAGUAAUCCACCUGGGGAGUACGACCGCAAGGUUGAAACUCAAAGGAAUUGACGGGGGCCCGCACAAGCAGUGGAGUAUGUGGUUUAAUUCGACGCAACGCGAAGAACCUUACCAAGUCUUGACAUCCUGCGACGGACAUAGAAAUAUGUUUUUCCUUCGGGACGCAGAGACAGGUGGUGCAUGGUUGUCGUCAGCUCGUGUCGUGAGAUGUAGGGUUAAGUCCCGCAACGAGCGCAACCCUUAUGGUCAGUUACUACGCAAGAGGACUCUGGCCAGACUGCCGUUGACAAAACGGAGGAAGGUGGGGAUGACGUCAAAUCAUCAUGCCCUUUAUGACUUGGGCUACACACGUACUACAAUGGCGUUAAACAAAGAGAAGCAAGACCGCGAGGUGGAGCAAAACUCAGAAACAACGUCCCAGUUCGGACUGCAGGCUGCAACUCGCCUGCACGAAGUCGGAAUUGCUAGUAAUCGCAGAUCAGCAUGCUGCGGUGAAUACGUUCCCGGGCCUUGUACACACCGCCCGUCACACCAUGAGAGCCGGGGGGACCCGAAGUCGGUAGUCUAACCGCAAGGAGGACGCCGCCGAAGGUAAAACUGGUGAUUGGGGUGAAGUCGUAACAAGGUAA